UACGUAGGGGGCUAGCGUUGUCCGGAAUCAUUGGGCGUAAAGAGCGCGUAGGCGGCCAGAUAAGUCCGGUGUGAAAGUCACAGGCUCAACCUGUGAAUGCCGCUGGAAACUGUCUGGCUAGAGUCCGGAAGGGGCGAGUGGAAUUCCUGGUGUAGCGGUGAAAUGCGCAGAUAUCGGGAGGAACACCAAUGGCGAAGGCAGCUCGCUGGGACGUUACUGACGCUGAGACGCGAAAGCGUGGGGAGCAAACAGG
rnacentral:rRNA from 1 species